rnacentral:rRNA from 1 species
GUCGUGCGAGAAAUAUCUUCGGAUAUGAGUAGAGCGGCGAACGGGAGAGUAACGCGUAGGAAUGUACCUAGUAGAAGGGGAUAGCCCGGGGAAACUCGGAUUAAUACCGUAUACCUCCUUUGGGAGAAAGAAGGCCUCUCUUUGAAGCUUUCGCUAUUAGAUCAGCCUGCGUAAGAUUAGCUUGUUGGUGAGGUAAUGGCUCACCAAGGCUACGAUCUUUAGCUGGUCUGAGAGGACGAUCAGCCACAUUGGGACUGAGACACGGCCCAGACUCCUACGGGAGGCAGCAGUGGGGAAUAUUGGACAAUGGGCGCAAGCCUGAUCCAGCCAUACCGCGUGUGUGAAGAAGGCCUUCGGGUUGUAAAGCACUUUAAGCAGGGAGAAAAAGAUAUGGGUUAGUACCCUAUAUCCGUGAUGUUACCUGCAGAAUAAGCACCGGCUAAUUCCGUGCCAGCAGCCGCGGUAAUACGGAAGGUGCAAGCGUUAAUCGGAAUUACUGGGCGUAAAGCGCGCGUAGGUGGUUUUUUAAGUUGGAUGUGAAAGCCCUGGGCUCAACCUAGGAACUGCAUCCAAAACUGAAUAACUAGAGUACGAUAGAGGGAGGUAGAAUUCAUAGUGUAUCGGUGGAAUGCGUAGAUA